rnacentral:lncRNA from 1 species
AAGUUAAAAAGUCAAAUGAAAAAAAAAAGAUAGUGAGAAAAAAUUAGGAAAAUUUUGUUCAUAUUAUGGUUAUGAUACAAUAAUAGCCCCUUCAAAAAGAAAAAAUAAACAAAGUAAUAUAAAAAGGUAAAAAACCUUCAGUAGAGUCAAAAUUCCAAAAGAAAUUGGUAAAUUUUAAUCUUAAUAAAUCAAAAUCCUCAAAUAAAUCA